UAGGGAAUCUUCCGCAAUGGGCGAAAGCCUGACGGAGCAACGCCGCGUGAGUGAUGAAGGUCUUCGGAUCGUAAAACUCUUUUAUUAGGGAAGAACAAAUGUGUAAGUAACUAUGCACGUCUUGACGGUACCUAAUCAGAAAGCCACGGCUAACUACGUGCCAGCAGCCGCGGUAAUACGUAGGUGGCAAGCGUUAUCCGGAAUUAUUGGGCGUAAAGCGCGCGUAGGCGGUUUUUUAAGUCUGAUGUGAAAGCCCACGGCUCAACCGUGGGGGGUCAUUGGAAACUGGAAAACUUGAGUGCAGAAGAGGAAAGUGGAAUUCCAUGUGUAGCGGUGAAAUGCGCAGAGAUAUGGAGGAACACCAGUGGCGAAGGCGACUUUCUGGUCUGUAACUGACGCUGAUGUGCGAAAGCGUGGGGAUCAAACAGG
rnacentral:rRNA from 1 species